UACAGUAGGCGUGGAAAAUAUUUUUUAAGUCAGAAUAAUAAAACAAAUACAUUUCUCAUAGAAUCAUGUGAGACGUUUUCAGCCAAUGAUUCCUCACUCAUCAUGUGGUCGAGGGUGCACAAAUGUGACUUUGUUAGUUCAGGUAUCUUAUCGAUUUCCCUAAACUUCAUUAGCUGUUACGAACUGCUUUUUUUUGGUGGCAGUGCCGCUAGCUCAGUCUGCCUCAGGGCAGAGUUCCCCUAAUGCCACAGCUUGCAACAUAAAAAAAAUGGACAACUCCGCUGUCUCGCAUAACUGAAACUAUCGGAAAUCACUAAGAACAAAACGUAAACAAAGGUGAAUAUUUAAAAACAUCGACGAUAUUCGGGCCAAGCGCUUCCUCCCUACCAUGGGUACCCUCUAUAUGCUGCUGGGCACCACCCAAACUCUGCCGGACGGCGCCCCUCCUCGCGACUACGGCGGUUCCAUCUUCCCCACUGGGACAUUUACUCACACAUGGUAGAUUUUACAAACAUUUCAUGAAUAUGACCAAGACUUGGCCACCGUCUUCAGGACUUAAUCGAAGUAUUUAGUCGAACUCCCAAGUAAAUCUGCAAACUGCAUCUGCGUGGUUCGGCAAUAUGGCUGCGACUAUACCCAUAUCUGCUGAUCAUCUUCGCUUCUACCCCCGCCAAUCCCAAAAUUGGGUCAUUGAACACAUGAAUGCCAUUUAAGAUAAUCUCGGAGCAAACCGGGAUUAAUCCUCAGAUGGCCCGCCAGAUUCAUCCCACUGCUCCAACUAUCGCCUUAUCGGCCAAACCUAUCGAUAGAGUCACUCCGAUCAUCGACUCCAAUUGCAACAUAGCGUCUGAUUUAAAUUGUUUUCUUUUGUAGCUACUAAAGUGGUAUUUGAUGUUUCCCUUAUCGCCUCCAGGAUAUAACCUGAGAUCAAAUGUAGUAUUAUGCAUCCAACUAUGUCUUCGAAGGAAUUCAGUCGUGAGUAGCAAGUUAGUUGUGAUCGAUUCUUUACCGUAAAGGUUGACUAAGGGUGGCACUAAGUAAGUAUUGGGUUACCUAAUUGUCGGAAGGCGAUAAAUUGUUAGAAAAGGCUUGAAAGGUCGAGGUAGAGCGCUGUAGAACUAUAUGAUGGGGUUUUGUGCAAGCUCGAUAACGAGAUGAUUGGUAUGUUAAGACUCCCCAUGUCCCCAGCUUAGACAAUUGAUGCAAAGACCUAUGCUUUUUGCAAAAUUUUUAAACCGACCUAGUACUGGACUAUUUACAAAGGAAGUACAUUCAUCAAGAAAAUGUU